GAAGUGCAGUUGAAGGGCUGGUUAAUGAAGACACCCUCAAGCCAUUGGGGCUGUAAGGACUCCAUUCAAUGAUUAGGGUCCUAUUAUGCCAGUGCCUAGUGCAAAUAGCACGGUGACAUUCCCUGUCCCACAAAGGUCACAAUCUGGUAUCUAUACAACAGGUAACACCCACCAGAUAGGAUUUACACUGGUGCCAGACAGCUGGGACACUUAACUCUCUCAAUGGGCUUUUCCCACCCAAAUAGCUUUUCCUGCGGAUGCCGCAGACUCCAAGGGGCAAAUGGCCACCCAUUGUGAGUUAUCAAAGCGUGUAAGGACAUGCAUGAUAUGCUCAUGUGACCCUGGAUUCCAUCUUGGGCCAGUAACUUUCCACAAACAGAGGCUGUGGGCUUUGUUUGGGACAUUAAAAUUCCAUGUACAUGGCAGAGGAUGUAAAAGGAUCUCUGAACAUCUUCAUUUUGUCAUUUCCUGCUUCAUUUUUUCUGGACUGGAUUUCUAUCAAGGAAUCUUUGGACAAGGACUGAUGACCCGUAAUAUGUUUGGGUAAUUCCAGAGAGACUUUUAUAAGAUAGCAGUUUAUUCCAUCACUGCUGUGAUCCUGAUAUAUGAACACUUUGAAUUCUCUUGUAUGUAUCUGAUAUACUAGCCAU